rnacentral:rRNA from 1 species
UACGUAGGGGGCAAGCGUUGUCCGGAUUUACUGGGCGUAAAGAGCGUGUAGGCGGCCAAACAGGUCCGUUGUGAAAACUGGAGGCUUAACCUCCAGACGUCGACGGAAACCGUAUGGCUAGAGUCCGGAAGAGGAGAGUGGAAUUCCACGUGUAGCGGUGAAAUGCGUAGAGAUGUGGAGGGACACCAAUGGCGAAGGCAGCCUUCUGGGCCAACACUGACGCUCAUGCACGAAAGCGUGGGGAGCAAACAGG